UAUAAAUUUGAGGUGCAAAAGAGCUGUCUUUUUGCUUUUACGAGGAAAGAAAAAAGGCCCUCAAACUUUGGUCCGCAGGUCCGGCAUUCUCCCUUCCUCUCCAGGCUUCAUCAGCACCAUCACAAUCUCUUCUCUUCUCCUCUUCUGAACUUAAAAGGAAAACUGAAAAAGAUAAAGCUCCCAAAAAACGACAACGACAACAACAACAACUUCGAAGAUCAAAAGGCCUCAACUCUUUUUCACGCGCGCACAUAAAUCUCAUUUGUUGUCUCCCGAUUCAUGCAGAGCUUAUUUUUAUUGGCUAAUCUGAUUGGAGGAUCAUAAUAAUCUCGUUCUUCUUCACAAUGAGAGCCGAGCGUGGAAGGAUCUCCAAGCAUGCUUCAUGGCCGAGAUUAGUGAGAAAAUGGCUAAACAUACAAGCUGAUGAAUUUUAUUCCGACUACGCCAUAGAA